GAUGAACGCUGGCGGCGUGCCUAAUACAUGCAAGUCGAGCGAACAGACGAGGAGCUUGCUCCUCUGACGUUAGCGGCGGACGGGUGAGUAACACGUGGAUAACCUACCUAUAAGACUGGGAUAACUUCGGGAAACCGGAGCUAAUACCGGAUAAUAUAUUGAACCGCAUGGUUCAAUAGUGAAAGACGGUUUUGCUGUCACUUAUAGAUGGAUCCGCGCCGCAUUAGCUAGUUGGUAAGGUAACGGCUUACCAAGGCAACGAUGCGUAGCCGACCUGAGAGGGUGAUCCAGCACCAUGGAACUGAGACACGGUCCAGACUCCUACGGGAAGCAGCAGGAGGGAAUCUUCCGCAAUGGGCGAAAGCCUGACGGAGCAACGCCGCGUGAGUGAUGAAGGUCUUCGGAUCGUAAAACUCUGUUAUUAGGGAAGAACAAAUGUGUAAGUAACUAUGCACGUCUUGACGGUACCUAAUCAGAAAGCCACGGCUAACUACGUG
rnacentral:rRNA from 1 species